rnacentral:rRNA from 1 species
AUGACGAGUGGCGGACGGGUGAGUAAUGCUUGGGAACUUGCCUUUGCGAGGGGGAUAACAGUUGGAAACGACUGCUAAUACCGCAUAAUGUCUUCGGACCAAACGGGGCUUCGGCUCCGGCGCAAAGAGAGGCCCAAGUGAGAUUAGCUAGUUGGUAAGGUAACGGCUUACCAAGGCGACGAUCUCUAGCUGUUCUGAGAGGAAGAUCAGCCACACUGGGACUGAGACACGGCCCAGACUCCUACGGGAGGCAGCAGUGGGGAAUAUUGCACAAUGGGGGAAACCCUGAUGCAGCCAUGCCGCGUGUGUGAAGAAGGCCUUCGGGUUGUAAAGCACUUUCAGUUGUGAGGAAAAGUUAGUAGUUAAUACCUGCUAGCCGUGACGUUAACAACAGAAGAAGCACCGGCUAACUCCGUGCCAGCAGCCGCGGUAAUACGGAGGGUGCGAGCGUUAAUCGGAAUUACUGGGCGUAAAGCGCACGCAGGCGGUUUGUUAAGCUAGAUGUGAAAGCCCCGGGCUCAACCUGGGAUGGUCAUUUAGAACUGGCAGACUAGAGUCUUGGAGAGGGGAGUGGAAUUCCAGGUGUAGCGGUGAAAUGCGUAGAUAUCUGGAGGAACAUCAGUGGCGAAGGCGACUCCCUGGCCAAAGAC